UUUGAAUCAGUACAACAGUGUUACUCCCUGAAUUAUUACCAUGCUGAGGUGUUUAGAUAGUGUUCCUUUGGAUAGCCUUGACAAUAUAUAAUUAUCAGUCUCCACUUGACAGACUUUUCCCACUGACAUGCUAUUCUUUCCGAGGGACCCUGUUUCCCAAACCUCGGUAUUUUUGCUGUGAGGCUCCAGAAUCCAAGUCAAAUUUAUGUGACAAUGCUUUCCACAUAUCAGUGAAAACUAGGGUAGAGAUUUUUCUUUCAACUUUUAGAUCUGCAAAAUAGUAAAAGUCAUUGCAAAAUGUUUUGUGGUUUGCCAAGAGUAAGGAGCGUUUCUCUCUGGAUGUAGAAAGAGCAACAGGGAAUCCAAAAGAGGAUCCCCAAGUGGUGGCUAGCCUGCCAGAUGGACUUGGACUGCCUGCAGAUGAUACUGAAUUUCUCCUAUUUUUUUUUGUCCCAUAUAUCUCAGGAGUAGCUGCUGCCUGUUUCAGUAGAGGUGGCAUCCAGGGGAACUUCGUUGAUGUCCCUCACAGAUGUCACUGCUGACUCAUAUAGGUUUAGAGGUGAGCAAGGGGGAGUUGCAGCCUAAUGCAUCACUCUCUGCAACCAUACAGAAACAGAGCAGAUGCUGAAAUCUUUGAAUGCCUUAUGUUGUCACAGUCUGUAAUCAGCAGAUUUUGCUCUCUUGACUGGUGAUGUUACAUUCAUAUAUUGCCUAGAGGCCACAAAGCAAGAAGAAGAAGCGAAUAUGUUGCUUGUCAGCCUGCAAUUUGUCUGUAUUGGCACUUCACCAUAUAUCUUUCAUCAGAUGUACUCAUUUUGGGAAAAUUGUUUUGUUUUGUGAUUCCUCUCAUAUUAAUAUGCCACAGUUCCAGGUUUGUACCUCUUGCACUGCUAUGAAUGGCAUAGUAUAUUAAUUCUUGUUAAG
rnacentral:lncRNA from 1 species